rnacentral:rRNA from 1 species
UAUUUAAGGGGACAGUUAUAACGGCUCUCGCAUCGAUGAAGAACGUAGCGAAAUGCGAUACUUGGUGUGAAUUGCAGAAUCCCGUGAACCAUCGAGUCUUUGAACGCAAGUUGCGCCCGAAGCCAUUAGGCCGAGGGCACGUCUGCCUGGGCGUCA